rnacentral:lncRNA from 1 species
GUUCCUUCUUCGCAAUUGUUCAACAAGGUAGAGCAGACGCCAUUAUAAGUUGUGUCAGAAUCUGAAUAAAAGCUAGAGAAUCAGCAACAAUUUACCUGAGUCAAGUGUCUUCAAAUCAGUAGUUACUUAUCAGAAUUCUGUACAACUCGAUUAAGUAACACUGCUAAUAGGUCAAGCCACGCUACAGUCGUGUCAAAGAAAGAGUGUUGAGCACUUUGCUUAGUCUAAAAGCUGAAUUCAGCCACUCCGGGGAUGUACCCGAGAAGAACUCCAAUUAGUCAUGAAGCAUCUCAGCGUAUCAAUUAUCUCAACAGAAUCAGAAGACUUGGGGUAUAUCAUGCUCGCAUCAAAUUUGGUGAAUUUGGCCCAAGUCUCACCGAACCUGUAGAACCUGAAUACAGGCCAUUGCCCCACGGUGUAACAAUUGAUGCAAAACUAGGUGCCUACGAAGAAGGUUUCUAUAGCAUUGCAAUCAAGUAUCUUCCCCGUGAUGAAGCUGUUGCCAUCACCAACAUCAGAGUGAACGCUGAUUAUGCAAGAUACCUAAACUUCCUGAGAGGAUUACCGACUCGUGAGCCAACGCCAAGAGAACAAAUUCAUCCAGAGAUUCCCUUGCCAGCUGUGCUCCAGCACCCAACACCACGUGCACCAGACUACGUGUUGCGGAUCACGACCCGCCACCUGACGGACAAUUAACUAGGUCGGGCCGACUAGUUCGCAAGCCCACUAUUUUUGAUUUAUAGUAUGUGUAAGGCCGCCAGGGGUGCUGUGUUCAGCGUCUUCUUGGUGGCCGAUCUCGGUUAAUGUUCCUUCUUCGCAAUUGUUCAACAAGGUAGAGCAGACGCCAUUAUAAGUUGUGUCAGAAUCUGAAUAAAAGCUAGAGAAUCAGCAACAAUUUACCUGAGUCAAGUGUCUUCAAAUCAGUAAUUACUUAUCAGCUGUCCCGUCAGCUGUUUCAUUUCGCGUGGCUUCGGACUGAAGAUGGAUGCUCAAACGAACGUAUCUGUUCUUGAAAUUUCACCUCCGAUUCCGUGUGUUUUGAGCUGCGUCUUGUGAAUUCGAUCAAUGCAGAGUUGUUCAAGGAGGAGUAUGGUUUGGUUUUGCUAGCACGUUUUUCAUCUCCGUUAGUCUAAUACACCCAUUUUGUACCAAAGGUCUUCGGGAUGUACCUAAUGUACUGUGGUGGCUAAAGAAUCAUUCAGUGACGUGGUUCAAUCCAGGCCUUGGUUUUUUUAAAAAGUUAUUAACAGUUUUAAUUUGCAGAGACCCUCAAGGUACCUGAGGUGUUGCAUUGGCGUUGGAGUAAUUUGGUGACAGAAUGGAAUGCCACCAAUGUUAUGUUGUCAGUGUUAAUAAAACAUAUCCAGUAUCA